UACGACGGGGGCUAGCGUUGCUCGGAAUCACUGGGCGUAAAGGGUGCGUAGGCGGGUCUUUAAGUCAGGGGUGAAAUCCUGGAGCUCAACUCCAGAACUGCCUUUGAUACUGAAGAUCUUGAGUUCGGGAGAGGUGAGUGGAACUGCGAGUGUAGAGGUGAAAUUCGUAGAUAUUCGCAAGAACACCAGUGGCGAAGGCGACACACUGGCCCAUUACUGACGCUGAGGUUCGAAAGCGUGGGGAGCAAACAGG
rnacentral:rRNA from 1 species